rfam:Nocardiopsis dassonvillei subsp. dassonvillei DSM 43111, complete genome.
AGCCAUCGGAAACGGUGGGGACGGCCGGCGGGGAGAAUCUGGGAAGCCCGGUGAGACUCCGGCACAGGCCCGCUGCGGUGAACCGAGCCUUCCGUCCAGGAAGGACCCGGCAAGUCCGAAGACCGGCCUCGCGCCCGUCCCUUAC